UAGCAGCUGUCUGUGUGUCAGUCUCCCUUGAGUGGGGAUACCUGUCAAGAUUGUACAGAUUCAGAGAUCUCCUACGCCUUGAUAUCAAGAUACCUUGCUCUUACAGAACUGUGAUGUUGACUUGAAUGUUGUAGAGUUCAGGAUCCAUACUCCAAGACCUUCUUUGAGUUCUCUCAGCAGUGCCUGGAUUUGGUGAAGUUAAUGAGAAGGUCCCUGCAGAGCUGGGUGGGCUCCACACUGGGGAGCUCAAGCAGGUGUGUUUUGGGAAGAUGUUCUUCUUUGACUGCCUGCCCUCUGGGGCCAGCUGGGAAGAUUUUGUGGUAUGUUUCUGGUAUUUGCAUGCUGUUUUAUGGGUAGUGUCAUGGUUUUGUGUGUGAAGAUUUUUGUUCUCUUGC